AUACUUACCUGGCAGGGGAGAAAAUAUGAUUAAGCAGACAGUUUUCCUAGGGUGAGGCUCAUGCCCUGCACACUGGUUUGCUGACUCCUGUGACUUUUCCAAAUGCAGGAAAUUCAGAAAUUGUGGGAGUGGGAACUGCAUUUGUGCUCUCCCCU
rnacentral:snRNA from 1 species